rnacentral:rRNA from 1 species
CCUACGGGGGGCAGCAGUGAGGAAUAUUGGUCAAUGGACGAGAGUCUGAACCAGCCAAGUAGCGUGAAGGAUGACUGCCCUAUGGGUUGUAAACUUCUUAUAUAUGGGAAUAAAAUGUUCCACGUGUGGGAUUUUGUAUGUACCAUAUGAAUAAGGAUCGGCUAAUUCCGUGCCAGCAGCCGCGGUAAUACGGAGUAUCCGAGCGUUAUCCGGAUUUAUUGGGUUUAAAGGGAGCGUAGGUGGAUUGUUAAGUCAGUUGUGAAAGUUUGCGGCUCAACCGUAAAAUUGCAGUUGAAACUGGCAGUCUUGAGUACAGUAGAGGUAGGCGGAAUUCGUGGUGUAGCGGUGAAAUGCUUAGAUAUCACGAAGAACUCCGAUUGCGAAGGCAGCUCACUGGACUGCAACUGACACUGAGGCUCGAAAGUGUGGGGAUCAAACAGGAUUAGAUACCCGAGUAGUC